rnacentral:tRNA from 1 species
UAGUUCAGUGGUUAAGAACACUGGCUCUUUUUCCAGAGGACCUGGGUUUGAUUCCCAG